rnacentral:lncRNA from 1 species
UUAUACUGGUGUUAAAGUAAGUGUCAAGGGAUGGUUUCCUAAAUCAAAUCCCUUUAUCUUCGUCUUCUUGUCUCCUCUUUUUCCUGAAGAAAUGCUUCCACCUUGGAGUAACCAUUGCCGAAGCUUCUUCCUUAUUUGGGUCAUUGUGGUCAUGGUAUGGAGUGUAUGGAGAUCCAAUCAGCCACAUACAUCGAGUGUAACAAGCUUCAUCCAGGUUUAAAGUUCAACACUAACUCUUGAUCUGAGUCCUUUUUGCUGGCUGGAAUAGAAUAGUCUAAAUAGCACUUCACUGUUUUUGUCUGCCCUCGAGGCUUGUGUAAAUAUGAUGCUUGUGCAUUUUUUAUGUUGUAGCUUUCCCCAUCCCUUUAUCUCCUUACCGGUACUAUCCUCAAAUAGGGGCAUUUUAAUUUGUCACUGUUGAUAAUCUUCCUUCCUGUUACUUCCAUGUUAUUGAAAUCUGAAAAUCUGCAAUUUCCUUUAUCGAUAGCUCUAUUGGCUAAGUAGUCUGCUAACUUAUUUCCUUCUCUGAGAGUGUGUUGGAAAAUAUGUUGUUUAUCUUUCAUGCAUGCUUUAAUUUCCUCCACCAUAUCUGCUAUUAUCCAUGGGACUAACCACUGUUCUUUAAGUACCUUGCACAUAAGCAUUGAGUCAGUCUGAAUGAUGAUUUGAUUAUACUGUGACUGUUUGCAAUGUUUACAUGCUUCUAAGAUAGCAGUAGUGUUCUCCAUACUUCCUCCCUUUGCAUACUUGAUGUCUCCUCUAUCAUUUCUUAGGCAAAAUGCAUAGGAACUUAGGCCUGGGUUUCCUCGUGAAGCUCCAUCGGUGUUGUACUUUAGCCAACCUUCUGGUGGGUAUUCCCACAAUACCUUUGUUACCUUCAUCCUAGGCCUGUAUUUUUCCAACUCACUUAACAUACCUGGCCAAUCACUAGGUCCUUUCCUCCUUGGAUGUCUCAACUGCAACAACAUGUACAUGUUCCUAGUGAUAUUAUAUGAUUCGUGACACUGAUGUUUUCCUCCCCUCGUGUUUCAUCCUAUUUCUCCUUCUCCAGAGCUCCCAGAUCACAAAGCUAGGUAGAGCCCUAUAAAGAGGUCUUAGUGCUUUUUUUGUAUUUGCUCCCCACCAUACCAUUAUAACUUCUCUUAAUUGGAGUCCUGAUAUGCUUAGACCUGCAAAAGAGCAAAAAUAGGACCAGGUCCUGUUAGCAGUAAAGGAUCGAAGAAACACAUGAGUUAGUGUUUCCUGAUCAGGUCUUUCACAGCACCAACAUUUAGAAGGGCCUUCCAGUCCCCAUCUUCUUAGUCUAUCAUCAACAGGAAUUUUGAAUUUCCAAAGUCUCCACAUCAUGAAGGCCACUUUAAAAGGAACCCCUUUUGUCCAAAUCCACUUAUAAAUUUUGUUGGGUUCCUCUUUAUGCCUUAUAUACUGCCAUGAUGUCUUAACAGUAAAAGAUCCCCCUGAAUCCAACAUCCAGCAGGGUGUGUCUUUCUCCUCUUUGCCCGUAGGAGGGUGGAUAUGUUGUAUAAUGUAUUCUGCUAACUCUAGAGGGAGAAUAUCCUUCAACAUCUCUACAUUCCACUCUCCCUGAUUAGUCAGCUCUUCAACUUUUGUAUAACUAUCAUCCCAUUCAAAAUCUUCUCCCGUGAUGGUAUACAGAUCUCCCAAUCCUGUCCAAUUAUCAUGCCAUACAGAGACUGAUCCUUUCUUCAUUCGCAAUAGGAUUUGAUGCUCAAUGAGGUCCCUUGCUUGAAGCAUUUUUUUCCAUACUUGUGAUCCACCUCCCCCAACUUUCCACAUAAUUACAUUAGCAUGAGUGUUCUUGCAAUACUUAUUUCUCAUGUAUUCACUCCAUAUAGAAGGUUUGGUCCGAAAGUUCCACCAUAGUUUACAAAAUAGGGCCAUUGAUAGGUCAUGCAUUAAUCGAAAUCCUAAUCCCCCUUCCUUCUCUGGUAGGCAUAGGUUACUCCACUUUGUCCAGUGUCUUCCUCUUCCUCCAAUGCAGUUGCUCCAAAAAAAUUGCGACAUCAUUUUUUGGACUUGAUUUAGCACAUUGUGUGGAGGAUUCAUAACCGAUAAGCAAUGAAUCGGUGUACUCUGAAGCACAUGCUUGAUUAGAAUGGCUCUCCCUCCAUAAGAUAGCAAUUUUCCUUUCCAAGACUGCAUCUUGGCUCCAAUCCUUUGCAUCAUUGACUCAUAAUAAGCCUUCUUCUUUCUUUUAUAAAAAAUUGGACAUCCUAAGUAUGUGAAAGGAAAUUCUUUCCUUAGAAUUCCUAUUGCUACCUCUGCUACUAUGGCAUCCCCUCCUGAAACACUGUGGUGCAAAUAAAUAGCACUUUUCUCUUUAUUCACCUUCUGGCCAGAAAUAUCUUCAUAUUUCCUUAAUGUUUCAGUAAUCAUCUGCAUUGUUCGUACUUCUGCUUUGCAUAGGAUAAUCAUAUCAUCCGCAAAGGCUAAGUGAUUCACUUGCUGGCUUCCUCUUGGCAUUCCAAACCUCUUGAAUUCUUUCUUCUUCAUUAGAGAAUUUAGAGAUCUUGACAUGACCUCGGCUGCCAAUAUAAAGAGAGUAGGCGAUAGAGGAUCCCCUUGCUUCAGUCCUCUUGAGGAUUUAAAAAAUCCUUUAGGCUGACCAUUUAAGAGGAUUGAGUACCAGUUGGAACUGAUCAAUCUGAACACCAUAUCAAUAAGCUUUUCACCAAAACCAAGUCUUCUCAAUACCUUGGUCAUAAAUAGCCAUUCCACUCUGUCGUAUGCUUUCAUCAUGUCUAGUUUAAUCACUAGAUUUGGAGACUUCCCUCUAUUCCUUAUUUCUGUUAUAAUUUCUUGAACCAAUAACACAUUCUCCGCUAUGCUUCUCCCUUGUACAAAACCAGCUUGUUCUGAGGAAAUAGGUUUCAGGUCUGAGAAAAUCUUCACCGUUACUUUUUUUGGAAUGAGAACUAGAUUCGUGUGAGUAAUGAACCGUGGUAACUCCGCACCACUGAAGAAUGCCUUGACCAUAUUACAAAUAUCCUCUUUUGUGGUAUCCCAAGUAUGUUGGAAAAAAGCUCCACUCAUACCAUCUGGUCCUCCUGCACUGUCUUUGUUUAAGCCCAUUACUGCCCUUUUGACCUCCUCCAUUGUUGGCAUGCUUUGCAACUCUUCAUUCAUCUCAUCAUUUAUCACUACUGGUAAUUCCUUCAGUAGCUCAAAAUCUUCACUGUCUUCUUGCUUCGUGAACUGUUUUUUGUAAAAAUCUAUUGCUGCUUCCGCAAUAUCUUCUUGUUGGGUUAACCACUCUCCUUUCUCUUUUUGGAUUUUAUUUACCCUCAGCCUUUUCCUCUUUCCCUUAAGAAUGGUAUGAAAUAAUUUGGUAUUCCUCUCUCCCUCUUUGAACCAUUCCAUUCCAGCUUUUUGUUUCCAAAACUCUUCCUCCCUUUGUAAUUGCUUCCUUAGCUCCGCUUGAGAUUUAUGCAAUUUUUCUCUGUUAGUGCCUGAAGGAUCCAGUUCAAACUGUGUUUCGUUCACUUUAAUAACUUCUUCAAGAGUGAUUAUCUCUUGAAAGAUGUUACCAAAGGUCUCUUUGCUCCACUGAGAUAACGCCUUCUUAACCCUUUUUAAUUUAUGAUGGAAUAAAAUAAAAGGGUCUCCUUCAAAAUCUGCUUUCCACUGCUGAUUGACCAAUUCCAUGAAUGAUUUCUCCUUUAUCCAGAAGUUUAGGAAUUUAAAUGGUCUCUUCACUUUCUCGCUACUGGUUUUUUGAGUAAUUAACAAUGGAGUAUGAUCAGAACCACUCCGCACCAAAUGUUCAAUUUCUUGCCCGGGAAAGUGUUCUGCAUUUUCUCGUUGCAUAGAACUCUAUCCAAUCGUUUGAAAAUACAGUCUUCAUCUGUUCUCCCAUUCCACCAAGUGUAUUUGAUGCCCUUGAAGCCUUGAUCCUCUAAAUUGCAUACAUUAAUGCAAUGAUUGAAGUCCACAACUUCUCCAUUAGUUACUGGACGCCCUCCUAAUUUCUCUUCUUCAUUUCUAAUCACAUUGAAGUCUCCUCCGACUAGCCAAGGAAUCCCAUAGUUGUAGUCUUUCACUUUGUGUACAUUUAGCAUAUACCAAAGAUAUUGACACUUCGAUGUCCAGCCCUUGAUUUUGCACUUUGAUAGUCAAAACCUGCUCCUCAUCCCUUUCUAUUGUGUAUUCCAUUAGUUCAUCAAUAAAAGCCCAAAUUUUCCCAUUUAUAUUAACUACUGCAUGCUUCAUAUCCAGCUUCUUUCUGUACUCCUCUAGUUCUUGUCUAUCUUCAAAAGGUUCCAUUAAUCCCACAAAAUAGAAUUGGUAUCUUUUAUGCAUAUUUACCAAUCUAGUAAACGCCUUUUGGGUGUUUACCGACCUUAUAUUCCAUAUUAGAGCUCUCAUUGAUACUUGGUAUUUUUUAUGAUCAUUCUCUUUGACCUUGAUGAUGCCUGAGCUGCAUUUAGUUCUCCACUGCCUUGCCUUUUUGAUUUAGCAUGGACAUCUUUUAGCUUUCCAGCCUAUUUUGGUGACAAAUCCCCUUCUAUAAUAGCUGCUGCAAUGUUUUGUACGAGAUCAUUCUUAUCUCCAUUAGCUUCAUUUGUGUCCAAUCGAUCUUCAUUUUCAUCCCUUUGCAUCGCCAAAGGAAGGACUUCCUCAUUGUUAUCUUCAUAUACAAUUAAAGCCCGUUUUGUUUCCAUUUCACUUUGCUCCUCUUCUUAUUGUAUUACUUUUUCCUCGCUUUGUUUAUGUCCUGAUGUCUCCUCCGAUCCCUUCUCCAUUACCUUGUCGUUGAACGUUCGCUUUUCAUUGACCUUUUCUGUUGUUUCUUUUGGUUCACUAUCUUUCUGCUUUGUGUUGAGAUCUCCAAAGUUUUUGUUUGCCCAUUCUUUCGUGCUUAUCUUGGUUACACCUUCCUCAUGUUCUUGUUUUUUCUCUUCCUCAUCUUCUUGUUGUUCUUCUUCCUCCAAUCUUUCCAGAGUCCCAAAGGGAUUUUUGUCCUGAACAUCAUUCUCCCCUUUGAUAUGUCCAUACUUAUCCCUUUUGUAUUUGUUUCUUCUCAUCACUAUCCAUUCCUGUUUGUAUUGCCUUUGACCAACUACCCUUCCACUUGACAAAAUUCGAUUCGGUUCUUGCCUACUGGGAUUUGUUUUGUGUUUACUUCUUCCUCCCCCUUAUUUCCUUCAUAAUCUUCAUUUCUUUUUUCAUAUAGUUCUGGGUGUAUUGACCAACAACUAUGCUCAUCGUGACCUUGAAGAUGACAUUCCUUGCAAUAUUUGGGCAUAUAGUCGUAUUGCACCUUCACCCACUUGUACUUAGUGUCUCCUGUGAUAUCAUCCUCCUCCGUUAUUCUAACCCGUUAUGGUAGCUUGGCUGUCAGAUCUACUUCAAUUUUGACUCUAGCACAAUUGGGUCUCGUUUGAUUUCUUGUUGCCAUAUCUACUGUUAAUGGUUUGCCCACUGCUGCUGCAAUUGAAAAAAAUUGCCUCAUUUGCAAAGAAGUUUGGGGGAGGAUCAGGGAAAGAGAUCCAUGCAACUCCUAUUGUUGUUUCUACAUCCGGCUCAAACCAUGGAUCCCAUUUAAGAGUUCUCAUCUGCCAAUAAUUAUUCCUAGCCUUCACGUAGUAUGUUGCUGUAGAUAAAACUUGCACGUAGUCCUCCAAGUUAUUGAGUCUGAUCAAAAUAUGCCUGGAAUCCAAUACUCCUAUCGUGCAUUCGCUUUUGAUUCCACAUUGUCCUGGUAUUGUUUUCCUUAGUUCCAUAAUAACGGGUUUGCCAUAGGAAAAUUUGCCAAUAAUAGCAUAUUGCAAAUUUUCCUGAAUGACUAGCGAUCGUACUUCCGAUGCCUUCCAUGUAAUAUUAGGUUCUCCCUGUAGCAUGACCACUGGUUUGGGAGUGACUUUAGGUAGUGGUGGGUUCAUUGGUUUUGGUUGGAGUAUUUGAGCAUACUGCAUAAUAUUUUGGUUUCCAUUGCCAAUCUUUUGUGGUUUUAUGGUAUCAUGACCAUGUAAGGGUGGGAAUUCCUCCGGUGGGAAAGUCCCACCGGUGGUGCCUGCCGCCAUGACAACGUCGUCUAGGGUUUUACUUGAACAUCUAGCUAAGUGCUAAUUAUUUUUAUGUGCUUUAUUCUGUUGCCAACCAUUUGCAAAUUUCUUUUACUGACACACUGGCCUCUUCACCCACUCCUUAGAAAGGUCACACAAAGAAGAAAUAAAUAUAUUUGAUCGUGGAGCUAUGUUGCUCUUACUCUUCAAAAAUAUCAUCGGGUUUGGGUCGGAUCCUCCAAAAGUAGUUCAUUUGUGGAGGAUCCAACAUGGGUGCGACAAGAUUUUUGGAGAGUCCGAGCAACAUAGUCAUGGAGCACAUUUUUUGUUUGUAGUUUCUGGGUGCUAAGCAAGUUCUAAAGUGGUUUCACAAGACUGGUAACUGUAGUUCAGUAGUCGUAACUCGUAAGAAAUUCAUACAUAUAUGUACAAAGUGGAGAUAUUAGCUAGUUUGGUCCAAGCUCCACAGUCGAACUGUCGAAGUGAGAUAAGUUAAUGAAGUAGCCAAAAAUGAUAAAUGUGUGAUUGGUUUUGGAGACUUGUAUUGGAGUUAAUCGCGUGGAUAGAUCAUACAAAAGUACUAUAAAUGAAACAACUAUCGUGCAAAUGUCUCAUGGAACGUAAGCUUUGUUUGGCUGCAGAAAAGGAGAAAAUUGAGUAAAAUGUGGAGUUAGUGAGUACACAUUUCCUUUGUUUGGACAAGGGCAAGGGGAGUACAGUUGUUUUGAGGAGACAAUUUAUAGGUCAAGAAAAUAUUGUCUCAUUAUGUCUUUCCUCUUCUAUGUUGCAUACCAAGCCUGCUCUCUUCCUCUUCUUUCCCUUCUCUUCUGAGGAUUUCAAACCAAGGAUUAAGGAUAUAUAGAAAAUGAAUUCAAGAAGAUUUGCUUAUAAGCAAAUACGUAGUUUGAAGGCAUGAAGUAGAUUAGUGUUUGUCAUCUUCUUUAAACUGAACAACUGGAGAAUCAUUUUCAUUCUUGUUGAGGUUUCUAUCAUAAAUAUCAAGAACUAUUAAAAAAAAUUUAAUACUAAGACUUAAUUCUUUUUAUUUCAUUAACUUCCCUUUAUUAGCUUUAACUGUCUUUAGUCUAUGGAGUAUUGGAAGUGUUCAAGAGGCAUUGAAUUGGAAGUUUUUUUUUGUUAUUAGCACACUAACAAUUUAUUCCACUGUUUGGCCCCUUGAAUGUUGUUGCACUAACAAAGUUAUCAUGCAAAAUGGAAGUUAGUGAAGAAUCGAAAUUGUACCACUUGUGACAAGAUUUUCCAUGAAGUGAGGUACAUAACUUCAGUGUUGGAUGCUUACUUUGCUGAGUGGUUAAUGUGAUGGCUUCAGUUUGAGGUACAUAACUUUGCUGGUUUGGCGCCCUUAGUACUUGAUUAAAUGGAUAAUAUGCUGACAACUAUUAGCACUCACUCGGCUAAUUGGAUGAUUGGUCAACUCAUUGCAAGUGAUUCAGCGUCAAUUGACGUUUGUCCUCUCUUUUGAUAUUGUUUAACGUAGUUAUAUGAUAUAACUGGAUUAUGGAUGUGGGAUUAGUUUCCAUUCAAUGUGUUCUAAUCAUAUUUCAUUUGUGUUAAAACAGUGGUCAAGUAAGAGGUGGUGGUUUUGGGAGGUCACGGGGUGCCAGAGGACGUGGUCGUGGAUUUCGAGGAGGCAACAGAGGAUGGGGAAGAGGAGGUCGUGGAGAAAAGGUAUCUGCAGAAGAUCUAGAUGCUGAUUUGAUGAAAUAUCAUACAGAAGCAAUGCAGACGAACUGAUGGGUCUGGUAGUAAUGUUUGCCUCUACAUCCAGUGCUUAGUGGAGCCACACCACACAACACCACAGACUCUCUGUGCAAGCCUUUCCUUUUCAAGUUGCAAGAAAGAAAGUACUUGUAGGAAAAUUUCAGCCGUUCCUGUAGGGGUAUUAUGCUUAUUUAAUUUUUCCCUCGCUUUGGAUUUGUGACUUAGAUGGAGUGAUGUAAUCUACUCACUCUUUAAUUUAUGUAAGAGAUGUAUGAUUAUAGUGGAAAUGCUAAUCCUUAGCCCCUACCACGACAAGGCUUUGCCGAUGGUGGCAGACGCCAGCUGAAGGUGGUGGUCUGUGUCCUGAAGUCAAUAAUGCGGGUGUCAAUAGUGAGGCAGGUUUUGUCACUCUAUUCUUUUCCCCCUGGUUUCACAAUUGCAGUCUUUGUGCAAUUAGCUUUACUCUAAGCUUCUAUCUAGUUUUAUCCAAUGUUUGUAAUAAGCUUUAAAAAGUUGACUUAGGAAACAGGUAAUGGGAUCAUUAUUGGGUGACUAAGUUGAAUCAUCUGAAUGAAUUAUAUCUUAUUUCAAAUAUAUGGGAGGAGUAAGCUGAAUGCUGGUGUUGCGGGGAUCACAGAUUGCUCAUUGUGCUGAUUCUCGCAGAGAAAGAGGCUUCAUCCUCAUUCUGUGAACAUGACGUUUGACUGAAGUGACACACUGCAUUUUUACAGCUUUACAAAGCUUGUGCCUUGUACUGUAGAAUUGCUUGGGUUUGCUGUGUUUGUUUGUUGAUUAUGUGCUAUUGAGUCUUAAAUGCCGCUUCCCGAAGUGGCUUGAAUUUUCUUCAAGUCUAG